UUGAAUUUGACUUUUGAGUCAAAAGGCUUAAAUAUAUUUAUAGGACGAGAAGACCCUAUAGAAUUUUAUAUUUUUWUUUUAAUAAUUUAUUUGUUUAUGAUUAAAUUUUUUUUAUAAAAAUAUUUUGUUGGGGCGAUGGGAAGAUUUUUUUAACUCU
rnacentral:rRNA from 1 species